UGUCGUCAGCUCGUGUUGUGAAAUGUUGGGUUAAGUCCCGCAACGAGCGCAACCCUUAUCCUUUGUUGCCAGCGGUCCGGCCGGGAACUCAAAGGAGACUGCCAGUGAUAAACUGGAGGAAGGUGGGGAUGACGUCAAGUCAUCAUGGCCCUUACGACCAGGGCUACACACGUGCUACAAUGGCGCAUACAAAGAGAAGCGACCUCGCGAGAGCAAGCGGACCUCAUAAAGUGCGUCGUAGUCCGGAUUGGAGUCUGCAACUCGACUCCAUGAAGUCGGAAUCGCUAGUAAUCGUGGAUCAGAAUGCCACGGUGAAUACGUUCCCGGGCCUUGUACACACCGCCCGUCACACCAUGGGAGUGGGUUGCAAAAGAAGUAGGUAGCUUAACCUUCGGGAGGGCGCUUACCACUUUGUGAUUCAUGACUGGGGUGAAGUCGUAACAAGGUAACCGUAGGGGAACCUGCGGUUGG
rnacentral:rRNA from 1 species